AUACAACAGCCCAUUCUAUGUCAUGGACCCUUUAUUUCCUGGGAAGAUUCCACGAAAUCCAAGAAGAACUGUAUCUAGAAUUGCAAGAAAUUUUCAAAAAUGAUAGGAACAGGAAUAUUACUAUCUAUGACACAACGAAAAUGACGGACUUAGAAUGCGUAAUUAAGGAGUCGAUGAGAAUCUAUCCACCUGCUCCUUUUAUUGCAUGAAAAAAUCCUUCAGAAAUGAAAAUAAGUAAUUACAUGUUGCCUGCAAAUUCGACUCUUGUCAUAAAUAUCUAUGGCAUCCAUCAUAAUCCUUCUGUUUACGAAAAUCCCG